rnacentral:rRNA from 1 species
UACGAAGGGGGCUAGCGUUGCUCGGAAUGACUGGGCGUAAAGGGCGCGUAGGCGGUUCAGCAAGUUAGAUGUGAAAUUCCUGGGCUUAACCUGGGGGCUGCAUUUGAUACUGCUGGGCUUGAGUAUGGAAGAGGGUCGUGGAAUUCCCAGUGUAGAGGUGAAAUUCGUAGAUAUUGGGAAGAACACCGGUGGCGAAGGCGGCGACCUGGUCCAUAACUGACGCUGAGGCGCGAAAGCGUGGGGAGCAAACAGG